rnacentral:rRNA from 1 species
CGGGGUGCAGCAGGCGCGAAAACUUUACAAUGCGGGAAACCGUGAUAAGGGGACACCGAGUGCCAGCAUCAUAUGCUGGCUGUCCAGGUGUGUAAAAUACACCUGUUAGCAAGGGCCGGGCAAGACCGGUGCCAGCCGCCGCGGUAACACCGGCGGCCCGAGUGGUGAUCGUGAUUAUUGGGUCUAAAGGGUCCGUAGCCGGUUUGGUCAGUCCUCCGGGAAAUCUGACGGCUCAACCGUUAGGCUUUCGGGGGAUACUGCCAGGCUUGGAACCGGGAGAGGUAAGAGGUACUACAGGGGUAGGAGUGAAAUCUUGUAAUCCCUGUGAGACCACCUGUGGCGAAGGCGUCUUACCAGAACGGGUUCGACGGUGAGGGACGAAAGCUGGGGGCACGAACCGGAUUAGAUACCCGGGUAGUCCCAGCCGUAAACGAUGCUCGCUAGGUGUCAGGCAUGGCGCGACCGUGUCUGGUGCCGCAGGGAAGCCGUGAAGCGAGCCACCUGGGAAGUACGGCCGCAAGGCUGAAACUUAAAGGAAUUGGCGGGGGAGCACAAGGGCGAAUUCGCG